rnacentral:tRNA from 1 species
AGGGGUAUAGUUCAGUGGUAGAGCACUGGUUUCACAUGCAAGAGACCCUGGGUUCCGUCCCUAGCACCACUG